rnacentral:rRNA from 1 species
GCUGAAGACUUUAGCUUGCUAAAGUUGGAAGAGUUGCGAACGGGUGAGUAACGCGUAGGUGGCCAGCGUACUAGCGGGGGAUAACUAUUGGAAACGAUAGCUAAUACCGCAGAACAGCAUUUAACCCAUGUUAGAUGCUUGAAAGGAGCAAUUGCUUCACUAGUAGAUGGACCUGCGUUGUAUUAGCUAGUUGGUGAGGUAACGGCUCACCAAGGCGACGAUACAUAGCCGACCUGAGAGGGUGAUCGGCCACACUGGGACUGAGACACGGCCCAGACUCCUACGGGAGGCAGCAGUAGGGAAUCUUCGGCAAUGGGGGCAACCCUGACCGAGCAACGCCGCGUGAGUGAAGAAGGUUUUCGGAUCGUAAAGCUCUGUUGUAAGAGAAGAACGUGUGUGAGAGUGGAAAGUUCACACAGUGACGGUAACUUACCAGAAAGGGACGGCUAACUACGUGCCAGCAGCCGCGGUA